rnacentral:rRNA from 1 species
UGACCCAGCGACGCCGCGUGAGGGAUGAAGUCCCUCGGGAUGUAAACCUCUGUUGAGGGGAACGAUUAUGACGGUACCCCUCGAGGAAGCCUCGGCUAACUCCGUGCCAGCAGCCGCGGUAAUACGGAGGAGGCAAGCGUUGUCCGGAAUCACUGGGCGUAAAGGGUGUGUAGGUGUCCUGAUGGGUCAGUUGUGAAAUCCAACGGCUUAACUGUUGAAGUGCAUCUGAAACUAUCGGGAUUGAGGACAUGAGGGGAGAGUGGAACUCGCGGUGUAGCGGUAGAAUGCGUGGAUAUCGCGAGGAAUGCCGAUGGCGAAGGYGGCUCUCUAGUAUGUUCCUCGUAUGAGGAGCCGAAUAAUUUUAUCUUCGGGUUAUGAUCAUUCGGUCCUGACACUGAAACACGAAAGCUGGGGGAGCGAACGGGAUUAGAUACYCCGGUAGUCCCAGCNUUAAACGAUGUACACUUGGCAUGUGYUUUUAUAGUACGUGCCGUAGGUAACCUGUUAAGUGU